AAAAAAAAAAACAACUUAAGAAAUGUGUAAAGCUGGAAUCUGCUCUACCUUUUUACAUUGUUUGAGCCUCUGCUUCAACAAUUGGUAGGCAUUCUCAGCAGAUGCAUAAAUGAUUACCUAGAGUGCUUCACAAUGGAGAAUGUAGAGGUCGAAGACAUGUAAAGCUUAAAUCACGCAGAGUCAAUUUGUUUACAUCCCCCAAUUUCUUUGUUUUCGGCUACAUCAACACCUUUUUUUUCUUUUUUUCCAACUGAGUGACAGUUCCUUACAGGUUUUGUGAAGAUUUUCCACAUAAUUAUCAUAGAAAGAU
rnacentral:misc_RNA from 1 species